rnacentral:rRNA from 1 species
UUUAAUAAAAACAUCUCUAAAUUYGUGUUUAGUYUGCCCUGCCCUAUGUUUUGAUAAAUGGCCAUUUUUUUGCUAAGGUAGCAUAAUUACUUGCUUUUUAAAUAAAAGAUAGUUUGAAAGGGUUUACUGUGAAUUUUUUUUUAUUUUUUUUGUUUGAAUUUUUUAUUUUGUAAAAAAUCAAUUUUUUAAUAAAAGACGAGAAGACCCUUAAAAUUUUAUCAUAAUUAUGUUUUUAGUGGGGCACUUCCUUUUUUUUUAAAAGGUUAUAGGAGUAUAUAAAAAAAAUUACUUUAGGGUUAACAGGGGAAUCUAAAAUAAAGACCAUAUUAAAUUCUAGGUUUUCUACCUCGAUGUUGAAUUAGGUAUAAUUUUUGGAGCAAAAAAUAAAAUUAUUUGGCCUGUUCGGCCUAUAUACACCUACAUGAUUUGAGUUUAA